CUGCGUCUCUCCAACCCGGACCUAUCGCAACGUGUUGCCUUGGUUGGUUCGACUGUUAGAGACGCUAGAUGAGAAACUUGGCGUUUUCGCUAACACCGCAUCCUAUGAUCGGAGUUUGAUAGUAGGUCGCUGAACACUU
rnacentral:snoRNA from 13 species